rnacentral:rRNA from 1 species
GACGAACGCUGGCGGCGUGCCUAAUACAUGCAAGUCGAACGCAGUGGGGACGGGUGAGUAACACGUGGGUAACCUCCCAUCAGAGGGGAUAACACUUGGAAACAGGUGCUAAACCGAUACUGAUGGAUGGACCCGCGGUGCAUUAGCUAGUUGGUGGGGUAACGGCUCACCAUGGCCACGAUGCAUAGCGGGCCUGAGAGGAUGAGCAGCCACACUGGGAACGAGAAACGGCCCAGACUCCUACGGGAGGCCGGAGUGGGGAAUUUUCGGCAAUGGGCGAAAGUCUGAUCCAGCCAUGCCGCGUGAGUGAAGAAGGCUUUCGGAUUGUAAAAUACUUUUGGUAGAGAAGCGGUAUCUAACCAGAAAGCCACGGCUAACUACGUGCCAGCAGCCGCGGUAAUUC